rnacentral:rRNA from 1 species
CAGCAGCCGCGGUAAAACGGAGGGGGCUAGCGUUGUUCGGAAUUACUGGGCGUAAAGCGCACGUAGGCGGUUUUGUAAGUCAGAGGUGAAAGCCCGGAGCUCAACUCCGGAACUGCCUUUGAGACUGCAUCACUUGAACGUCGGAGAGGUGAGUGGAAUUCCGAGUGUAGAGGUGAAACUCGUAGAUAUUCGGAAGAACACCAGUGGCGAAGGCGGCUCACUGGACGACUGUUGACGCUGAGGUGCGAAAGCGUGGGGAGCAAACAGGAUUAGAUACCCCCGUAGUCCCUGUCUCUUAUAC